rnacentral:rRNA from 1 species
GAACCACCCCUUAUCUAAGGCCCACACCCCUAAGAAUUAGAAUACUAACAUAAAAUGAUCCAUUAUUUGAUUAAUGAACCAAGUUACCCUAGGGAUAACAGCGCAAUCCACUUCAAGAGCCCAUAUCGACAAGUGGGUUUACGACCUCGAUGUUGGAUCAGGGUCUCCUAGUGGUGCAGCAGCUA